rnacentral:rRNA from 1 species
GAGUUUGAUCUUGGCUCAGAGUGAACGCUGGCGGUAGGCCUAACACAUGCAAGUCGAACGGCAGCACAGUAAGAGCGUUGCUCUUAUGGGUGGCGAGUGGCGGACGGGUGAGGAAUACAUCGGAAUCUACUUUUCGUGGGGAUAACGUAGGGAAACUUACGCUAAUACCGCAUACGACCUACGGGUGAAAGCAGGGGAUCUUCGGACCUUGCGCGAUUGAAUGAGCCGAUGUCGGAUUAGCUAGUUGGCGGGGUAAAGGCCCACCAAGGCGACGAUCCGUAGCUGGUCUGAGAGGAUGAUCAGCCACACUGGAACUGAGACACGGUCCAGACUCCUACGGGAGGCAGCAGUGGGG